UUCCGUAGGUGAACCUGCGGAGGGAUCAUUACACAAUAACAAGGCGGGUUGGACACCCCCCGCUGGGCACUGCUUCACGGCGUGCGCGGCGGGGCCGGCCCUGCUGAAUUAUUCACCCGUGUCUUUUGCGUACUUCUUGUUUCCUGGGUGGGCUCGCCCGCCCUCAGGACCAACCACAAACCUUUUGCAAUAGCAAUCAGCGUCAGUAACAACGUAAUUAAUUACAACUUUCAACAACGGAUCUCUUGGUUCUGGCAUCGAUGAAGAACGCAGCGAAAUGCGAUACGUAGUGUGAAUUGCAGAAUUCAGUGAAUCAUCGAAUCUUUGAACGCACAUUGCGCCCUUUGGUAUUCCAAAGGGCAUGCCUGUUCGAGCGUCAUUUGUACCCUCAAGCUUUGCUUGGUGUUGGGCGUCUUUUGUCUCCAGUUCGCUGGAGACUCGCCUUAAAGUCAUUGGCAGCCGGCCUACUGGUUUCGGAGCGCAGCACAAGUCGCGCUCUUCGCCAGCCAAGGUCAGCGUCCAGCAAGCCUUUUUUUCAACCUUUGACCUCGGAUCAGGUAGG
rnacentral:rRNA from 1 species